rnacentral:rRNA from 1 species
UGACCGAGCACGCCGCGUGAGCGAUGAAGGCCUUCGGGUCGUAAAGCUCUGUUGUCAGAGAAGAACAGGUACCGGAGUAACUGCCGGUACCUUGACGGUACCUGACCAGAAAGCCACGGCUAACUACGUGCCAGCAGCCGCGGUAAUACGUAGGUGGCAAGCGUUAUCCGGAAUUAUUGGGCGUAAAGCGCGCGCAGGCGGUUCUUUAAGUCUGAUGUGAAAGCCCACGGCUCAGCCGUGGAGGGUCAUUGGAAACUGGGGAACUUGAGUGCAGGAAAGAAAAGUGGAAUUCCACGUGUAGCGGUGAAAUGCGUAGAGAUGUGGAGGAACACCAGUGGCGAAGGCGGCUUUUUGGCCUGUAACUGACGCUAAGGCGCGAAAGCGUGGGGAGCAAACAGGAUUAGAUACCCUGGUAGUCCACGCCGUACACGAUAAGUGCUAGGUGUUGGGGGGUUCCACCCUCAGUGCUGACGUUAACGCAUUAGGCACUCCGCCUGGGGAGUACGGCCGCAAGGCUGAAACUCAUAGGAAUUGACCGGGGCCCGCACAAUCAGUGGAGCACGUGGUUUAAUUCUAAGCAAGGCGAAUGACCUUAGCGGGUCUUGACAUCCUCUGAGCGCUUGAGACAUCAAGCUUUCCCCUUCGGGUGACAGAGUGACAUGUGGUGCAUGCUUGUCGUCAGCUCGUGUCAUGAGAUGUU